UCUGUGGCAAUCAAAAACUCACCUGUCCAAUUAUCAACGUUUGAAGUUGUCUAUCAAGUGUAACUUUAACCAAACGUUUCACAGUUCGUGAUCCCUACCUCUUUGUGGUUCCGUCUUAUAGAGUUUCCUCUUAAAUAACCUGCCGUUGUACCAACCGACGAAACUCCGUUAAACGAAAGGAGACAAAAAAAGAAGCUGCGGCGAUGAAACUCCAUUUGACAAAAGAAGAAGCAGAAGCGACGAAACUAAUUGCUAGUAUUUUUGACAAUAGUAGCAGCUUGCUACAAGAAUAUCUUCUGGAAAUUGGAUGUUAAUGAAAAAUCAGGACAUCCCUGCUGGUUCAGUAGACUGUGGAAUAGACACGUUGAUGGUGUUUGAAUAUGAACUGCUGCUGUAUCUGAAAAGGUGUCAUCCAAAUGGUUUAGAAAUGAUGAAGAUCCUAAAGGUCACCAGGUAAUGACCUCAAUACAGUAGAAGAUGAGGAGCUGACAGAUGGCCUCUACAACUACCUGAUGAAGUGCUGUGAAGAGCUGUAGGCACUUUGUAAAGAUCCACUGGGUUCACGUCAUUCUGGAUGUGCUGAUGCUGGAGGUUCAAUUUGGCUUCAGGGAAUCUCUGAGUACAGAAAGUGUCUCCAUGAGUAAGAAGCAGAAGGUCUGUUCACUGGUGGACCAGCAGACUUUGAGUGGGAUGUCAUGUGGUGUUGGAGGGAGAGAGAAAGAGACGGUCCUUUCUGUUUCUUAUCAGCACCAUUCGUCUGUUAAUCAGAAUACAAUUUUACUUGUAGUGAAUUUAGACGAGUAUAAACUAAAUAGAUAAAUGUAAAUAUAUAUGUUUAAAGUGAAAUUUAAAAUGUGCAUUAGUGCACUUUUAGUACUGGUGAAAGUAAAUCUUUCUCUUUUUUUUUGACAAACUUGAACUUCUAACUGUUGGAGUACAAAGAUAGUUAACAUCACUGAGGCUUUUCAACUUGGGAUUCCAUCUCCGCGCCUCCUCUGAUAAACGUGUCACUGGCUUUACUGGUCUUUGGAAUUUUGGAUUUCUGAGUGCUGAACUGACUGUGCAUAAUAGAGUUGUGUAGAUUUGAUUUAACUAUUGAUGUCAAUAAUAAAGGACACUUUGAUUAAGUUCUGUAUA